rnacentral:rRNA from 1 species
AUUUUCCACAAUGGACGAAAGUCUGAUGGAGCAACGCCGCGUGCAGGAUGAAUGCCUUCGGGUUGUAAACUGCUUUUAUCCGGGAAUAAACCUCACUACGUGUAGUGAGCUGAAUGUACCGGAGGAAUAAGGAUCGGCUAACUCCGUGCCAGCAGCCGCGGUAAUACGGAGGAUCCAAGCGUUAUCCGGAUUUAUUGGGUUUAAAGGGUGCGUAGGCGGCCUGUUAAGUCAGGGGUGAAAGACGGUGGCUCAACCAUCGCAGUGCCCUUGAUACUGGCGGGCUUGAAUGUACUUGAGGUAGGCGGAAUGUGACAAGUAGCGGUGAAAUGCAUAGAUAUGUCACAGAACACCGAUUGCGAAGGCAGCUUACUAAGGUAUGAUUGACGCUGAGGCACGAAAGCGUGGGGAUC